CCCUUAGAUGUUCUGGGCCGCACGCGCGCUACACUGAUGCAUUCAACGAGUUUCCUGGACCGAGAGGUCUGGGCAAUCUUUUUAAUGUGCAUCGUGAUAGGGAUAGAUUCUUGCAAUUAUUAAUCUUGAACGAGGAAUUCCUAGUAAACGCAGAUCAUCAAUCUGCAUUGAUUACGUCCCUGCCCUUUGUACACACCGCCCGUCGCACCUACCGAUUGAGUGCUCAGGUGAAUAAUUCGGACUGCAGCAAUGUUUGGAUCCCGAACGUUGCAGCGGAAAGUUUAGUGAACCUUAUCACUUAGAGGAAGGAGAAGUCGUAACA
rnacentral:rRNA from 1 species